CGGGGUGUAGUUCAGUUGGCUAGAACGUGCGCAUGGGGUGCGUAAGGUCAGCGGUUCAAGUCCGCUCACCCCGACCA
rnacentral:tRNA from 1 species